GUGCCAGCAGCCGCGGUAAUACGGAGGGUGCAAGCGUUGUUCGGAAUUACUGGGCGUAAAGCGCGUGUAGGCGGCCUGGCAAGUCAAGUGUGAAAGCCCCCGGCUUAACCGGGGAAGGGCACCUGAAACUGCCUGGCUUGAGUACGGGAGAGGGAGGCGGAAUUCCCAGUGUAGAGGUGAAAUUCGUAGAUAUCGGAAGGAACACCAGUGGCGAAGGCGACUUCCUGGGCCAAUACUGACACUGAAGUGCGAAAGCGUGGGUAGCAAACAGGAUUAGAUACCCUGGUAGUCCACGCCGUAAACGAUGAGAACUAGAUGUUGAACAGAUCGACCUGUGCAGUAUCAAAGCUAACGCGUUAAGUUCGCCGCCUGGGGAGUACGGUCGCAAGACUGAAACUCAAAGGAAUUGACGG
rnacentral:rRNA from 1 species